UGUCCCUCCUAUUUCUUUCUUCGACUUUUUGAGAUCCUACUUUUAUUACUUUUGCUAGCAUGUGUUUAAAGACUAUAAUUUCCACUGUGCUGGAGAAUGAGUCUCUGCCUUGAGGUUUUAAGUUCUCUUGAGAUUCCUCUCAGGGAAAUUUGCAUAUCUGUAGCCGCUGUUCUCAUCUACUGGUAGUUGCAUGAUAGGAAGUACGACAAGUUACCAUCAUGUUUAAUUUUCAUUUUAAGAUGUUUUAAGGAAGAGAUACUAAGGAUUUUUUGAAGAGAGCAGACAACCUCAAUAUGACUUCAGAGAUCACUUAUGCUGAAGUGAGCUUCAAAAAUGAAUCUACGUCUUUAGGCACCAAAUCAGAUCCUCCUGCAGCUCCCAAAGAGAAGACCAGCCUUCACAAAAGUAACCCUGGUUUUCCCAAGGCACUCUUACCCUCAUUGCUGAUACUUCUGCUAUUAUUGGCAAUCUCAUUUUUUAUCGCUUUUAUCAUUUUUUUUCAAAAGUAUUCUCAGCUUCUUAAAGAAAAAAAGGCUAUAAAAGAAGUUAAUCACACAGCAUUGGAAUGUAUGAAAGAAAAUUUGACCAUGGAAGAGAGAGAUUGGAGCUGCUGCCCAAAGAAUUGGAAGUCAUUCAGUUUGAACUGCUACUUUAUUUCUACUGACACCAAAACUUGGACAGAGAGUAAAAACAGCUGCUUAGCAAUGAAUUCUCACCUGCUGGUGAUCAACACCAAGGAAGAGCAGGAUUUUAUCAUUCAGAACCUGGAUAAAAGCAAAGCGUAUUAUGUGGGGCUGUCAGACCCAGAGGGUAACAGAGACUGGCAAUGGGUUGAUCAGACACCGUACAAUGCAAAUGCCACAUUCUGGCAUCCAGGCGAACCCAAUUAUCAGUGGGAGCGCUGUGUUGUACUGAAUCAUCGUUCACAGAGAUCGUGGGGCUGGAAUGAUGUUGAGUGUGAGAAACCUCACUGGUCAAUUUGCAAGAUGAUGAAGAUCCACUUAUGAGUAGGAAAUUCUCCAUGAACAUGCGGUUGAAUUAGAAGCCACCAAUAAAGAUGAAUUUUCAUUUUAUACAUGGCAAAACUGACAAAAGGCUGUCUGAACUACGCACAUAUAAUUCAGGUUUAACCUGCUUCAGUGAAGGGACAAGCAUGACAGGUAAGGUGUUGC